UGCAUCUGAGGCCAGUGAGGAUGAGAACCUCCGGGGGCAGGGAAAGCACCCGACUCGCUUUUAAGCGAGAGAACGUUGCGUCAGCAACGGCCUGCAGGGCGAGCCACGAAGUGGUGAGUCAUCCCUCAUCACCGACCA
rnacentral:sRNA from 1 species